rnacentral:rRNA from 1 species
CAGCCGCCGCGGGAAUACGUAGGGUGCGAGCGUUGUCCGGAAUUACUGGGCGUAAAGAGCUCGUAGGCGGUUUGUCGCGUCGUCUGUGAAAUUCUGCAGCUUAACUGUAGGCGUGCAGGCGAUACGGGCAGACUUGAGUACUACAGGGGAGACUGGAAUUCCUGGUGUAGCGGUGAAAUGCGCAGAUAUCAGGAGGAACACCGGUGGCGAAGGCGGGUCUCUGGGUAGUAACUGACGCUGAGGAGCGAAAGCAUGGGGAGCAAACAGGAUUAGAUACCCCGGUAGUCCCUGUCUCUUAUAC